CUCAAAAGGAACCCUGAAAACUUCUGUGGAGUUGCUUAAGAUGUUCAUUAGCGCAACAAAAUCUGUUUUUUUUUCUAUGAAGCUUAUUGUCCUUUUUCCUUUUCUAGAUGCUCAUUACAGGGUAUUAGAAGGGAAAGCUAUUACCAUAGCAUGGGUUCAUAUUUUGGCUUACUAAUGCAUGAAGUACUUUUGCUUCAUUAUUUAAGUAAUACUUUCACUGUAACCAAUGGAAAUCUUGGCCAAGUCUGGAGUAAAUGAAUUACUCUAGCUAAAUAUAUCAUGUUGGUUAGGGCCAGGGGAAUUAUAUAGCUAAGAUUUGUCUCUUACUUUUACAUCUGGGUUUCAACACUCGUCAGAUUAUGAGUUUUUUGUUGUUGUUGAGGAAUGUGUGUCUUACUCUGUAAAGAUUUGCUCCAGCUAAAGUAGCUUGAAAUCCAUGGACUUUAGUUGAAUAGGAGCAGGCCUUGAAACCUUUCAGGAAUUUCAUACUGCUGAUAUUUUCUCAUAGAUGUGCUUUUUAAAAAAAAAUUUUUAGAUCUUACAACCAUGUAUACAAGGAUGCUCUGGAUGAGAACGACAUCUAUUGCCAAUUAUGGAGAAACAAACACCAGGAUUUCGAAGGGAUUAACAGAGAAUGAAAAAGUAUUGACUUGAUCAACUUGAUUUCUUUGAAGCGAGUAGCUAAGCUUCUGUUUUUGUGAGCUGAGCUGGUUUCUUUGCCAUCUGCACGAAGCUGGAAGUGAAGAUAAAAUACACUUUCAAAUAAAUGUGGUCAAAUAGUAGUUCUGGGAAUUUCUCCUUUAAAAUAAAAAAGUAUCACAGUUAAAACAUACAUCUUUUUAUCUGAAAUAUCUGUAGGUAAAGGCAAGACUGAAUUUUUUUUUUCUUUUAAUAAAAUCAGUUUUUCAGUCUGUAUUUUGCAGGGGAAGAAUGAUUUAAUUUUCUUCUGCAUCUGUCCAGCAAGAUCAUUUGCAAGUGCUUUGAAUGUGUUUCAUCUAGAGCCUUCUUGUCAGUGUGCUCUUUUGCCCUUUUGUUACUUGAGAGCUCAGGAAGAGCAUAUGCUUAUGCAGCAGAAAUGACUUUGCAAACAGAAAGUACAUCCUGAACUGG
rnacentral:lncRNA from 1 species